AGAGGGGCUGCUCCUAGUACGAGAGGACCGGAGUGGACGAACCUCUGGUGUUCCGGUUGUCACGCCAGUGGCAUUGCCGGGUAGCUACGUUCGGAAAAGAUAACCGCUGAAAGCAUCUAAGCGGGAAACUUGCCUCAAGAUGAGAUCUCACCGGGGACUUGAUCCCCCUGAAGGGCCGUCGAAGACUACGACGUUGAUAGGCUGGGUGUGUAAGCGUUGUGAGGCGUUGAGCUAACCAGUACUAAUUGCCCGUGUGGCUUGACCAU
rnacentral:ncRNA from 2 species